rnacentral:rRNA from 1 species
CAUUACAAACCCCAUGUGCACUCUGGCUUUACCUUUACACGCUUUUGAAGUCAUUGGAAUGGCCUUAUUUGAAAACUAAAUACAACUUUCAACAACGGAUCUCUUGGCUCUCGCAUCGAUGAAGAACGCGGCGAAAUGCGAUAAGUAAUGUGAAUUGCAGAAUCCAGUGAAUCAUCGAGUCUUUGAAUGCACCUUGCGCCCCUUGGUAUUCCGAGGGGCAUGCCCGUUUGAGUGUCGUGGUAUCCUCAACCUCUUGGUUGGACUUGGGCGCUGCAGGCUUGUCCUGGCUCGCCUCAAAUGAAUUAGCUGCGCUGGGUUUGGCUGGGAUGUGAUAGUUCUUACGUCUCGCCCUGCUUUGCUGUUGGCUUUGACCCCCUCCACUUGACCUUUGACCUCAAAUCGGGUAAGACUACCC